UACGUAGGGGGCAAGCGUUGUUCGGAUUCAUUGGGCGUAAAGGGUGCAUAGGUGGCGCCGUAAGUCAGGGGUGAAAUCCUGGAGCUCAACUCCAGAACUGCCUUUGAUACUGGCGAUCUCGAGUCCGGGAGAGGUGAGUGGAACUGCGAGUGUAGAGGUGAAAUUCGUAGAUAUUCGCAAGAACACCAGUGGCGAAGGCGGCUCACUGGCCCGGUACUGACGCUGAGGUGCGAAAGCGUGGGGAGCAAACAGG
rnacentral:rRNA from 1 species